UGAUGAAAACCACCUGGGGAUUGUACAAUUUUAGUACAUAUCAAAACCUUUUAGUAACUUGUGAACUCCCUAAUCCACAGACAUUCUAAUAAAAGAUUUUCAUCGCGGCCGGUCGGCUUGCCCCUUGGCAGCUGCCGAUGAUAAGUGACUUUUUUUCUAACACCUUCCUAUUCCUCACGGCGAAGGACCCUACCUCUUCCCCUUCCAUAAAUUUAUCACUCUCUUUU
rnacentral:lncRNA from 1 species